rnacentral:rRNA from 1 species
UACGUAGGGACCAAGCGUUGUUCGGAUUUACUGGGCGUAAAGGGCUCGUAGGCGGUUCGGAAAGUCGGAUGUGAAAACUCGGAGCUCAACUCCGGGCCUGCAUCCGAUACUCUCGGACUAGAGGUAGGUAGGGGAGAUCGGAAUUCCUGGUGUAGCGGUGAAAUGCGCAGAUAUCAGGAGGAACACCGGUGGCGAAGGCGGAUCUCUGGGCCUUACCUGACGCUCAGGCGCGAAAGCCAGGGGAGCAAACGGG